UGCUCUCGUGGCCUAGUGGCUAGCGCAGUUGUUUUUGAAAUUCGCAUCGCGGGUUCGACCUCCGCUGGGGCAA